AAUCAACGACUGUAGAAUUCACAGACUAAUGCUCUACCACUGUGUCACUGCCAUACGAACACAAUGUAUGUACAACCAUGGACUACUACAUCUAGAGGACGAGACUCUUCGAGGUUUCCUAUGUCGGCCAUGAGAAAGGGAAGAAAGUCCGUUUCACCGGUGCUACCUAGCGGCCAAGUUCCAGAAGCUCUUACAACUAAACGUCUGCGACCGGCAAAAUUUGAAACAUUUUUUGAAAAUCUUUUGUCUCUGUUUUCAACCUAUUUACAUAAUUUUCUAACGUUGGGAAACAUACAUAUAAAAAACAGUU